rnacentral:tRNA from 1 species
GCGGAAGUAGUAUAGUGGUUAGUAUAUGGCCUUGCCAAGGCUGUGACGCGGGUUCGACUCCCGCCUUUCGCA